UCCGUAGGUGAACCUGCGGAAGGAUCAUUAACGAGUUAGGGUCUUUCAGGCCCGACCUCCCAACCCUAUGUUUAUUGAACCUCUGUUGCUUCGGCGGACCCGUCUCACGGCCGCCGGAGGACCGCUGCGAGGCGUCCUCUGGCCAGCGUCCGCCGAUGGCCAACCCACUAAACUCUGAAUGAAUCGUGUCAUAUGUCUAAGUCUAUGAUUAAAUUAAAGCAAAACUUUCAACAACGGAUCUCUUGGUUCUGGCAUCGAUGAAGAACGCAGCGAAAUGCGAUAAGUAAUGCGAAUUGCAGAAUUCCAGUGAGUCAUCGAAUCUUUGAACGCACAUUGCGCCCUUUGGUAUUCCGAAGGGCAUGCCUGUUCGAGCGUCAUUAUCACCCCUCAAGCCCCGCGCUUGGUGUUGGACGGCCGGUUGAGCGAUCGACCCCUCCUAAAGACAAUGACGGCGGCCUGUGGUUCCCCCGGUACACUGAGCUUUUCAUCGAGCACGUAUCGGACAAGGGCACCCGGGACCCGGUCCUCUCCUUUAACUAGGAAACUUCUAAGGUUGACCUCGGAUCAGGUAGGAAUACGCGCUGAACUUAAGCAUAUC
rnacentral:rRNA from 1 species